CACGGGGGGAGCAAGCGUUGUUCGGAAUCACUGGGCGUAAAGGGCGUGUAGGCGGCCUGUUAAGUCGAACGUGAAAUCCCCGGGCUCAACCCGGGAACUGCGUCCGAUACUGGCAGGCUUGAAUCCGGGAGAGGGAUGUGGAAUUCCAGGUGUAGCAGUGAAAUGCGUAGAUAUCUGAAGGAACAUCAGUGGCGAAAGCGACUUCCUGGACCAAUACUGACGCUCAUGUGCGAAAGCGUGGGGAGCAAACAGG
rnacentral:rRNA from 1 species